rnacentral:rRNA from 1 species
ACUCCUACGGGAGGCAGCAGUGGGGAAUCUUGGACAAUGGGGGCAACCCUGAUCCAGCCAUGCCGCGUGAGUGAUGAAGGCCCUAGGGUCGUAAAGCUCUUUCGCCAGGGAUGAUAAUGACAGUACCUGGUAAAGAAACCCCGGCUAACUCCGUGCCAGCAGCCGCGGUAAUACGGAGGGGGUUAGCGUUGUUCGGAAUUACUGGGCGUAAAGCGCGCGUAGGCGGACUAUUAAGUCAGGGGUGAAAUCCCGGGGCUCAACCCCGGAACUGCCCUUGAUACUGGUAGUCUUGAGUUCGAGAGAGGUGAGUGGAAUUCCGAGUGUAGAGGUGAAAUUCGUAGAUAUUCGGAGGAACACCAGUGGCGAAGGCGGCUCACUGGCUCGAUACUGACGCUGAGGUGCGAAAGUGUGGGGAGCAAACAGGAUUAGAUACCCUGGUAGCGAG